ACCCCAGCCAGCGACAGUGCCCAGGGCUCUGAUGUGUCUCUCACGGCUUGAAAAGCCUGAGACAACUGUCUUGUGUGGGACUGAGAUGCAGGAUUUCUUCACUUCUCCCUUUUGUGACUUCAAGAGACUCUGGCAUCUCUUUCUGCAAAGGCAUCUGAAUGUGUCUGCGUGCCUGUUAGCAUAAUGUGAGGAGGUGGAGAGAGCCCACCCCUGUGUCCACCGUGACCCCUGUUCCCAUGCUGACCAGUGUUUCCUCCCCAGUCAUCUUUCCUGUUCCAGAGAGGUGGGGCUGGAUGUCUCCAUCUCAGUCUCAACUUUAUGUUCACUGAGCUGCAAGUUCUUACUUCCCUACUGAAAAUAAGAAUCUGAAUAUAAAUUUGUUUUCUCAAAUAUCUGCUAUGAGAGGUUGUUGGAUUAACUAAAUAAGUAAACCCUAGAAUUUGAGAGAGCACAUAAAGACCUGAGAACCUUCCAGAA